rnacentral:ncRNA from 1 species
AACGUGUUCCGGGGUCGGUGCAAUUCCGAACCGGCGGUGACAGUCCGCGAACCGUGAACACCGUGCACAGCACCGAGCAGGUUCCCGUGGGAACCACACCGGAUGCGCACGGAGGGAUCGGCCGAACCGGUGGAAAUCCGGUACCGACAGUACAGUCUGGAUGGUAGGCACACGUG